GGGGGGGGGGGGGGGGGCGGUUGCCUGGCGAGCCGUUGGGUAACUUGGCAGCGCUAGGGAGCCAAGACUUGGGAAGUGGAUGUCCUUCGGGAGGGAUAUCUACUUCCCAUCGAGUCGAGGCCACCCUCACUUCACACCCGGUCCAUCUUUGAACAUACAUUCCUGAUUCUGCCAGGGAUGUAGCACUAAGUCAAGAAGUGCAGACCAUGCUGAGCAAAGGAGCAGUGGAAAUCAUACGAGAUCAGUCACCGGGGUUCUACAGCCGGCUUUUCCUGGUGGAGAAGUUUACAGGGGGCUGGAGACCGGUGAUAGAUCUCUCUCCUUUAAACCGAUUCAUUCACCAGACUCGGUUCACGAUGGAAACGGCAGGCUCAGUGCUCGAUUCUAUCAGGGAGAACGAUUUUCUGCUUUUGGUGGACCUGAAGGAUGCGUAUUUCCAAAUACUAUCCAUCAGUCCUCCAGGAAGUAUCUUCGCUUUAUCCUUGACGGGACGAUGUACCAAUUCAGGGCACUUUGUUUUGGUCUCUCAACUGCCCCACAGGUGUUCACACAAGUGUUCACUCUGGUGUCGGCUUGGGCCCAUUCGGUCAGGAUACAUCUGAUGAGGUAUCUCAAUGAUUGGCUGGUUCUGGCGAGCACUCACACAGCCUCACAGUUGCUACAGAACAGAGAUCGACUCCUCGACUUAUGCAGCAAUCUAGGUAUUGUGGUAAAUGUCAAGAAGUCAGAUCUCGAACCCAAGGAGAGGAUAAAGUACCUGAGCAUGCUGAUCGUUAAGUUAGCAGCACGAGUCUUCCCCGCAGACUCUCAGAUCAGCAGAUUCAGGGAGGCAGCCAGAUGGUUUCUGUCAUGACAGGAACAGCCGGCUCAGCAGUAGCAGGCCGUGAUCGGUCACUUGUCGUCACUAGAGAAGUUAGUCCCUCAUGGGUGUCUUCACCUACGGUCUCUGCAAUGGAGACUAAAGGAGUGCUGGUCACAGGCGCGGGAUCUGCAAUUCUUCCUGGUUCCUCUUAUGGAGGAAGUAAGGGAGGAUUUAGUCUGGUGGCUAGACAACAGGAACCUCUUAGUAGGAGUGCCGCUUCGCACUCUCCCUCAGGAGGUGCUUCUGUUCUCAGACGUAUCGACCGAGGGUUGGGGCUCACACCUGGAAGAGUUGCUGGUUGCAGGAGUGUGGAACCAACACGACAAGCACCUUCACUUCAACAUCCUGGAACUCAAGGCAGCGUUUCUCGCACUCCAAGAAUUCCAGGAACGGCUGAUGGGACAUUCGGAGGUGUUGAUGAGCGACAACACCAUGGUAGUGGCAUACAUCAACAAACGGGGCCUAGUGUCCCUCCUGUUACACUAGUUGAUGAUGCAGGUGCACGAGUGGGCUGUAGCUCACUCGGUAGAGCUGUCAGCCAGAUACAUUCCAGGCAAGGGAAUGUAGUGGCAGACAAGCUCAGCCGCCAGAAUCAGGUGAUUGGGACAGAAUGGUCUCUACACCCAGACGUGGGGGAAAGGCUGUUCGACCUGUGGGGGCAUUCAGUAGUGGAUCUGUUCACCACCCAGCAAAACAGAAAACUUCAGGUUUUCUUCUUAGUUGUGCCGGACCUAUGGGGGGCUGCAGAGGACGGGUUCCAAUAUCCGUGGGAAAACCUCGUAGUGUAUGCCUUUCCCCCGUUCUGUCUGAUUCGCAAGGUAAUCAGGAGGGUGCUGGUCACCAGCAAUCUUUGAAUGAUUCUGGUGGCACCCAAAUGGCCUCAGGCCAUUUGGUAUCCGGACCUGCUGGCUCUUCUCUCAGAGGCACCUCGAGAGAUUCCCCCAUGGCACAACCUGCUGUGUCAACCGCAUGUGGAACGGUACCACCAGGCAGUACGUUCCCUGGCGGUUAUCCACCAUCUCGAGCGAGAGGCUUUUCUCGCUGAGCAGCAACAGAGAUGGCUGGAUACCCCAGACAGUCCUCUGUAGCAGUACCAGGGAAAGUGGUCAGUCUUCUGUGGUUGGUGUCGUAGACGGGGGUCUCUCUCCGCUCAGAGCCACUCUUCAGCAGAUAGCGGAUUUCCUGAUCUUCCUUCGCCGUGAGAAGUUCCUCUCUGUUUCAGCAGUUAAAGGAUACAGAGCUGCCCUGGCCCUAGUCCUAAAACUGCCAGGAGUUGAUAUUUCCUUCUCCAUGGAAAUAUCUCUCCUGAUGAAGAGCUUCGAGAGGUCUUGCCCACCCAGGGAACUCAGGCCCCAAGUGGGACGUGACUCGUCUAAAGGAGUUUGACUCGUAGACCCUAUGAGCCUCUCCGGGAGUCGUCAGACAGGGAUCUGACCCUCAAGACCGUCUUUCUGCUGGCUCUGGCAUUGGCGAAGAGAGUAGGAGAACUUCAUGGUCUUUCCUUCGAUGUCAAACACACGAGGGGAUGGGAUCAGUUACGCUCGAGUUUGUCCCAGAUCUCGUAGCAAAGACUCAGAACCCUACGGUCCCUGGCGCCAGGUUUGAGUCCUUCACGAUCCCCUCCCUAGAGGACUUUACUGGUAAUGAUAUGGAAGAGAUGCUACUUUGUCCUGUUAGAGUGCUAUGGCAUUAUCUGAGGAAAACUUGACACCUCAGGCCUGAGUAUCGACGCCUCUCCCUUAGCACCGGGGUGACCAAGAAAGAAGCGUCCAAGAACACUUUCUUUCUGGCUUCAUGAGGUGAUUAGAAAAGCGUAGGACUCGGAAAGCAGUGCCGACACCAGUACCUUUCGUCUGAGAGCCCAUGAAGUUAAAGGUAUUGGUCCAACCCUUGCAUUCUGCAAGAACUUGUCAGUUGCACAGGUGCUGAAGGCAGGGGUGUGGUCCAACCAGACCACCUUCACCUCCUUCUACCUUUGGAAUAUUGCCCAUAGGUCCUUGGACACUUUUUCCUUUGGACCCGUGGUGGCUGCUCAACAAGUUGUGUAGCUUACCGAGCUACUUUAACAGGACAAGGUUGCAUCUUGUCAUUGUGAUAUUGCAUGAAUGGAGAAUGAGAGUGAGACUGGCUCCUCUUCCUUCUCUUUUCUUCCUUCUUCCUGCGGGCAGAGGGUAGCGGUCACCACAUGCUGGACAGGACGACGGUGCAGGUAAGCUACAUAACUGAGCUCCAUUCUAUCUCUUUAGUUAGGGAUAGAAGCUUUUAUCUGUCCCUUCCCUAACAAGGGGGGCAAGCGGACAGCAGUAAGAGACAAACCCAAUGCUUACUAUUUGGCCUUUUACUUAUGACUUGAAGUUCUUUCUUGCUAUUCAUUAGAGGGAGGCCAGAGGUUUGGCCGCUGAUCCUGCAGUUCUCACUCCGAUCAGUUGGACAGAGGCUAGGUUCCCCCACUUGCUCUUACGACCAGGGAGGGAACCCAGGUUUGGCGAACACCAGUCUGUUUACAAGACUCAGAUUCCUCCCACCAAUAAGUGAGUCUUCCUUAUGUAAAGGACCGAUGGUUUGUAUAACGUGUCGAAACAAAUCACAAUUUUUGAAAGUAAAUUGUAUUUUUCCUAACUAUACAAACCUGAGGUUCUUUACAUAUAGGCCUACCUCCUGCCAUCCCUCACUCUGUUCCUGGGCCUAAACCAAAGUUGAAUGUUUGCAUCCAGUCGGGCGGGACUCCCAACCAUUGGACAAGCAGUUACUGCCUGACUACCUUGUUAUUAAAUCUUACGACCGGUCCAGCUGGCACUGAAAGUAAUUCCUUAUGUAAAGGAUCUCAGGUUUGUAUAGUUGGGAAAAAUACAAUUUACUUUCAAAAAUUGUGAUAUUAUGAUGAAAUGGGGUAAACAGCAAAAAGAAUGCCAAUUUUUUUUUUUUACUAAAAACCAUGCUCCUGGCGUCAUUUAUUGACAAAAAAAUAACAAUCUAGUUCACAAGAAGACGUAUUUAAGUCAUAUUUCGACUAAAACAUUGUAUAACAAAACAUAAUCUUGUCCCAUAUAAAUAGAGUUACUAGAGAUACGCUAAAUAAAAGCAAGAAAAAUGCUCUGAAUUGAGUUGAAUGUAGUGAAAAAACUAACCUCCAUCAACUGAUUUUUUCAAAACAAAAGAUCACAAUGACGCCAUCUAUUUACGAAAAAAAAUAAAAUCUAGUUUUACAAGAUGUAUGUAUGUCAUAUUUUAACUUUAAAACACAUAUAACGAAACAUAACCUUGUCCAACAUAACGAAACAUAACCUUGUCCCAUAUAAAUAGUUUUUAGAGAUUAAUUUACGCUAAAUAGAAGCAAGAAAAUAGUUUUGAAUAGAGUUAAUGCAACGAAAUAAACGUGUGUUUCUCAAUUGAUUUUUCCAAACCAAAACGUGAUCCGUUUGUUUGUAUUUUAUAGUAUAAUAGUAAUAUAAGAAUACAUACAAUAUAUUAUUGGAUACUUCAAAGUAAAGGAUAACUUUUUAAAAGGGCCAAGGAAGAGAUGCAUAUUCGUUGUUUGUUUUUUAUGAGGCAGUCUCGGCAGUUAGGCUAAGCCACGGAUAACCAGACAAUGGUGUUAUAAACCCUACAGAGGGUAAAACCCAGCUAUGAAUAUGCUGAACAAGCACCGUAAAACUGAAAUGCCGGUAACUGAUACCUACAGUAACCGGGGGCUGCCUGUAUCUUAACUAAUUGACAAUCUUGCUCAUUUCACUACUAUGUGUAGUCAGUUUCAUGUCAUUUGUCCACUCAUGGAUGAAGAUGUGGUACAUGCGCAUGGGUCAUGUGAUUGGCUGAUAAUCAAUGUUUGAUAUCGUUGGCUUAUUGUGAUAAAUACAAAGAUUCCUGUGUAAAAUAUGUCAGUGUCACCAAAUUCUGUAUGAUUAAACUUACAUCAGCUUUUCCCUUCACAAGGGGUCUUUUAUAUCUUGCUAAAUCUUUUAGUAAUGAAUAACCUAACAUUUCCAGUACCAAGUCUUUAGACAAAAAAUUUAUAAAUAAUUUUUUUUUAACCCUUAUCACAUGUCCAGUCCUAUGUAUUUACCAGCUACUGAACAUCAGAGCUCUCCUUUUCACUUCUGUAAUCAUAUGUACAAUCUCCUGAUUGUUCUCUGGCAAUGAAUAUAAAAUUCUGAGGUUGCAGAUAUUAAAAAAAUCUUAUUUUAAAGUGUCCAAGUUUUUUCUGUAUAUGUCAUACAUACUUUAUCUAUAACAAUACAUACAUCCUUUUCUUUUUGAUAGUUUAAUGUACACAGUUUUCUCUUUAUAUAGCUGCUGCUCUGUCUUUAUACUGUAUAUACACUGCCCUUUUAAUCCCUUCUUCACUUUUCAUUGUCUCAAAGUUAACAGAAAUGUUUUAUCACUUCUAAGAGAACUCAUUUACCACAAUCUGGUUCUAAAUUUAGCUGUUUGCUUUUCUAAAGGUGUCGCACAGCAGAUCUUUUUUUUAUGUUGUAACACCAUGCCACCAAAGUACCACCAGUAUCACAAAUUACUCUAAAUUAGUGAAAAAAUUAUGGUAAUCAAAUUUUCACUUGCACAGCUUCAAUGUAAUGAACAGAUCGAGCUUUGAUUAUAUGUAUACAAAGGCGAUAUAUAUUAGCCACUUGGUACAAAAGUUCAUGAAAACAUGCUAAAAGAUGCCAAAAAACAUGCUGUUGUGACACGGCCUCAGUAGAUUUCGGUCAUUAAAAAUCUAUUCAUUGUAUAUUUUGUAUUCCUUUGCAUCUCAUUUUAUACUUCUUACUGGUUUGUGAAGUUUGUUCUAUUUUAAUUUUCAGUUCUCUCCUUCCCAUCCGACUCCUCAACUGUUUGCAUGACUUCUUCCCUCAGAUUCUGUUGUAAACAUUAGGUCAUCAGCAUACAGACUUACAGGGUUUCCUUUCCUGCACUUCUUUGUAGCUUCCUCCAUUUCUAUGAUAAAAAGCAGGGUGCUCAUGGCUUGUCCUUGAUUGGCACAAGAUAUACGUAUCACAAAUUCUUCUGAUGUAUGUGCCAUUGUCUUUACAUAUAAUUUUGUAUUAUGGUAGAAUAACAUUAUGCACUAAUUGAGUUUUUCAAUUACCCCCAGCCUUUGUCAUACCCAUCUGUUGUUUUCUUGGUACAGGUAGUUAAUCAUCAUACCCAUCUAAUUGUUUUCUUGGUACAGGUAGUUAAUAACUGAUCUGUCAUGACUCAGAACAGUAAAGUAUGAAUGUUUGCUGGAAUGGUUUGCAGGGGAUUCCCUCAAGAAUCACACGAUCUUGUCAAACCAAUCAAACUAUCUGUGAUAUACCCAGAUGGUUCCUGGUAGGUACACUACUUGUCCUGUCACAAAAAGGUGUUGAGGGACUUGUGGGCAGCUUACCUCUAGUAGAAUGAGAGGAAGGUAGUGUGACAGCAUCAGAUUGCUGUCCUCAUUUCCUGUAGGACAAAGUUCUUCCAGAAGGAGAGAGAAGGUCCAAUGCCCCUAACAUUGAGAUCAGGGGUGGAUCAUAGGGUCUUUUGCACUGUUGGGGAAUGUGUAAACUUUGGCGAUUACUUCCUACAGCCAGAAGGUGAUCAUGUUAUUAGAUACCUCCUCCUAGUGACAUCCUUUGCUCACAAAAAAAGGGUUGCACUCUGGUCUGAGGUUCUUAGCCCUUUUUCAAGUAACAUUUAAGGGCAUGAAUUGGGUACAGCAACAUUUUCCCUGGCUCCUUAGCCAGGUGAUAUUUUUGGAUACUUCCUUCUACUGACAUCCUAUGCUCUCACAAAAUGGGGGUUGCACUCUGGCCUGAGGUUCUUAGCCCUUGUCAAGUAUUUAAGGGGCAUGAACUGGGCACAGCAACAUUUCCUCUGGUUCACUACUAAAAAAAAAUCUUGAAAGAGAAGGGAGAGGGAAUAAAGAAACUCAAACCUUGGGUCUAGAACCGAGAGAUUUUGUCUUAGCCACGAACUCUGGGAGGAAGGGGAAUGAGAAACCUCCACCCUUCCGAGUACCUGAUGAGGUAUGACAAUCCAUUCGACUUUCAAACUCUUGGCUAAGGCAAGGGCUAGAAGGAAGACCAUUUUGAGGGUAAGACCCUUGUCUGAUGACUUGGACAGGGGUUGUCCUGACUUGUGCUAAAUUCAGAUCCCACCUAGGGGCCUGUCUCUUGUAGAGGGCAUGAUUAUUCUAAGCUCCUCAUAACCCUUCUAUGCCACAUAUUGCAGAAAAUAGUUCACUUUCCUUGGCAGAUACUGAGGUGAUGUGGAGGGUACCAGACAUAUUUCUUGCCAUUCUGCAAGAAAAGCUCCUCUCGUGUGGUUGCAACACAAUACAGAUAGUUGUUAACUUACAACCUCUGCAGUUUGUGAUGGAUUGACUUUUAAGACUAUUAUGAGACCAUGGAUAUCUGGCUAUGAUUAUGCCCAGUAGGCAUAAUGCAAAUUCAUACAUUCAACCAGGAUUACCAGAUGUAUGACUUAACAAAUAAUUCAUUGCCAUUUCUUAUAAUUAACAUCCACUCCAACGGUACUUCAUAUUUUGCAACUGCAUUGAGGAUAUGUAACAAUAAAUGAAAUGUAACUGUGCAUUGUAUGUGGUAAAAUGCCUGUGGCUGAAAAAUUAACACGUAAAAAAAUUGACAAGUACAGUUUAAAAAAUAAAACUAAAUUUAUAUUAUGUAAAAACUUUGGAAUCUAAUGAUCAUUCAUAGAAUAAACUAAAGAAACUUGAGAGUAAAUGAGGAAACAAACACCACCAAAAAUAUGCUGCACAUAUCCUAUUGCAAAAGUGUGAAAAUGUUGUGAUGAAAUGUCACACAUAGAAGUAAAUGAAAAAAAACACACAAUAUUAAGGGGGCCGGCCGGCUAAUGCCAUUCUUUAAGGACAGGACUUUGAUAUUCAUGCCACUUAAUGUGACUUGGGACAUCUCCAAACCGCAUAUGAUUUUCGCCUCUGACCUUCGGUUUUGUGAUGCCAGGGCGAUUUAUCCCGAAAAUAACCAUUUUUCAAAUUCUAUCUCCUCCCUUGAUAUUCAGUAUUAAGACCUGGGAUUACUACCAUAUAUAGACCUGAUGUAGACCUCCAAUUGAAUGAGGAGUUAUAGAAAAAAAGUAAUUUUUUUGCUAGAUAUGAAUUUUUCAUUAUAAAUAAACCCUAUAAAUUAGGGGGGGGGGAAAUAAAAAAGACUAAACAAAAAUUGAAAAAAGGGGCUUCAUUUGAUUGUUCUGUAAUGUCUUUCUGAGUUAUAUACCAAAUUCCAAUGUUAUGGCUUUAAAACUAAGUGAGAAGAUAGAUUUAAACUAAGUGAGAAGAUAGAUUUUGAAGGUCAAUAACUAUAGUUUUUAGAUAGGGCGUUCAAAGUUUUUCUUCGUAUGUUAGGGCGUUCAAAGUUUUUCUUCGUAUUUUUAUAAUAACAAUGUUAAUAUAAAUAAUGAAUAUUAUGAAUGUAUAUUUCUUUUUUUGUGUAUUAAUAAACCAAAACUAUUUAUUUAUCAUAAUUUAAUCAUAAAUGAUGAUCCCUUUGCUCAUAUAUUAGCUUGGGGCACUGCGUCAGGCAAGACGGGGCACUCCUUCCUACGCAACUCUCUCUCUCUCCUUUACUAACUCGGCUAAUUACAGCGAUUUUUCUUAUGUAAGCUAGAUGUUUUCCUAGUAUUUUCCGUUUUGGCACGAUGAAAUUCUUGCCGAAACUAAGAUAAACAAACGUAAACGCAAGAGAAUGUCAAGAGGUAAAAUUCGAAGUUGUACUCUCUUUUUACAAAGACAAUGUUAAUAAAUCAUGAUUAUUAUGAAUUUCAUAUUCCUUUUUGGGUAUUAAUAAACCAAAACUAUGUUAUUUAUCAUAAAUUGAGAUCCCUUUGCUCAAAGAUCUUAGCCUGGGGGACAGUGUGGUGUGUGCAUCAGGCAAGACGGGGGCGUUUACUUACUACGCAACCCUCUUUCUCUCUCUCUCCACUAAUUACGCUAAUAUCGCAUAUAUUAUGAUAUUCUGUAAUCAUAUUAGAGGGAAUUUUCUUUGUCUUUAUGUUAGCGAGAUGUUUUCCUUGUCUUUUCCUCAUUGGCAUGAUGAAAUUCUUGCCGAAACAUAGAUAAACACAUGUAAAAGCAAGCGAAUGUCAGAGAAGAAACUCGGACGUGUAGACUACUUGAAGUCUGUGCUCGCACUGAAAUCAUGGUUGAACUUGAUACUCCCCUCUGCGACUCACGGAAUCACUACAGAUGCCAUUUCUCACAAUUUCUUUGACAAUAAUUAUCAAAAUUUACGAUAACAGAAGAAAUAUUGCAUUUUCUUGUACGGAUGAAUGUUUUAGGCUUAUUGAGUUAUAAGGGUUCCGGCCGGCCCUCUUAAAGCUUCCAUACUCCAAAUGUAAACGAGUUCUAUUUUCCGGUAAUUUUUAGACAUACCAAGUUUCCAUGUUUAAGCUUAAUGAGAAAUCAAUGAUCACAAUAGAACAGAUGAUUGAUAAUACCUUUUAUGUUCUUAAAAUUAAAAUUCCAAGAAAGCCCCAAUCUGCAUUAAAUUAUGAUUGAUGCAAUAGUACCUGGUGAAGGGUAAUCCAUGGCAAGUAAACACAACAGUGAAAAAAGGCAAAUUUUCCCAAUUAUUAGUAAUAGAAAGUUGAAGAAUGAAUAGGGGAAAGAAGUAGAUGUUCAUGUCGUGCCCAAGGGUCUAGGGGGAGAGAAGAGGGUGAUUGCAUGGGAGAAUGUAUCUGUCCUUCAAGACUGUUAUUACCCACUGCUCAGUUCCAUUUUGCUGCCACGUCAUCCAGUGACUCGAGAGCAGCCCCCACCUGUGACAGUGGAGAAGGAAGACCAGUCUCAUUAGGUGCCUAUUUUCUUGCUCAAGCCUCCUCAUUUAAGCUGAUCCAGGUAGAAUGGGGCAAAAGAACUGAUGGGUGUCCAAGCCCUUUGCAGAAGUAGAUGGAUUGGAGUCCUGUCUUAACUUCAUCGGUGGAGGUUGUCUUUCUGUGGAUGGCAGGAGAGCUUUGUUCUGAAUCUAGGUUCUCAUAGUCAGUGAUCUACACCUUUGGCUGGACUAGAAAGUGGCUAUUUGAGAUUGAGGGCAUCACAUGGCUCCUCCCUCUUAAUUGCCACCUCUGCUUUCAUUUCCUCUAAGGCAAAGUAGAAUGGUGAGUCCAGGAUCCAUCAGGAGAACCAACUCUCAUGUGAAACCUGUCUUGACAUUAUUAUUAUUCAGAAUGAAACCUAUUCAUAUGGAAAAAGCCCACAUGAGCCAUUGACUUGAAAUUCAAAGUUCCAAAGAAUAUGGUGUUCAUUAGGAAAAAGUAACAAGAGGUAAAGGGAAAUACAUAAAGAAAAGACACAAGGGAGAGGAAUGAAUGCAUCUGUCAGAUAUAAUGUUGGCCCAAAGGUUAGUGAUCUGGUGGGCUAGAAAGGUGAAGGCUUUCCUGCCUGGCACCAUAAGCCUCCUCGCGCUUGACCAAGAUUUUGGGGUCAACUUCAUCAUCAUAUUGGUUGCUGUGGUCUGCUCUAUAUCUAGCGAAAAUGUCACCAGGAGCACCAUCAUCAUCAUAGUUUCUAGUCUACGUUGUAUGUCAGCCUUGCACAGUUCCAGAGGGAGGUGGAGGGUUAAUUCGUCUGCAUACUCUGGAAUAUACUUUUUCUGUUUGAACUGUGAGGGAUCAAGGAACUAAUUGAUCCAUAGGUCAAGUUCAUCUUUGCCAGAAUCCCACAGAAAAGGUUUGACCAAGGUUCUGCUUCCUAGACCAAACCUACUACCCAAUGUGAAAGAAAGAUUGCAGGUAAAGCUGAAGCCAAGGCCUCUUCCCUUAGGUCAUUAAGCUCACAAAUGAGUGAAAUGAUCUCUUGGAACCAUUGCACUGCACCAGGUCUGAGGGUAAGGGGCAGGGCCUUCCAGUCUGUUACUAGGCUGGGUCAUGAUGGAGGGAGAUUUCUCUUGUUGCAGUGGGAACCAUAAUUCUCUGCUCCAACUCCUGUUCAUGUGCCCUAGAUUGAGGGAGUAUAGAUAAUGGAAUCCGUUCUGAUGGGUUUAGUGAAAGAGAGAUUGGUCUCCAUAUACCAUUUGAUAGGAGUAAAGGGGACUGAUUGGAUAAGUGAUAAGUAGAGCAAGCUUUGAUAAAAAUGCUUGGUUUUUCUUUGUUUUAGACUGUCAGCUUGGAGGGCCCGACAAGGAGGAUGAAGGUGGUGAAGGAGGGUCGUUUCAUAGUGGUAACCUUUGUUCUCUCAUAAGAGGUGCUGGGAGUUGGCAUGAGGCUUGGAAACAUGUGGGGAGGGGAGAACCUCCACCACCUCAGCCACUGGGGCACCUUCAGGGAGGCAGACGUGGGGAGGGAGAGACUUAAAAUGUUUGCCUUGUUGCCCACCCAUUGAUAGGGAAGGCAAACCCACAAUGCUUAAGAAAGGCAAUACCUUUUUCAGUUGUUGUACAUACUGUUCUCACUGUGGAGAAGGCUAUACAGUACAUUGAGGACUAAAGGAAUCACAAUGCACUCUUUACCCGUGCAAGAAAUACAGACAAAGUGUGGAUCUAUUGCAAGAGGCGACAUGAAAUGAUUAUAAAAUGACCACGACCUUCCCAAUGACCUUGGUCUUGUCAUCUGUGUCUGUUCUCCAUUGAGACAAAGAACCAAUAAAAAACACAGAAGCACCAGGAAUAAAAAAAAAAAAUUGGUACUUUCAGGCAGUUAAGCAAGCAUUUAGGAUAGAUAAAUCACAAAAGUACUGUUGAUCACACUGCCAGGGAAUUGAUGUAGAGGUGUCUUAAAUCCUAUAUGAAAUGUCUUAUUUGCCUAUGUUAGCCAUUUCAGCUUAUGCACAACCCUGUUGAGUUUUAUUUAGCAUUUAAUUUUUAAAAAAUCCUGUAGUUCUGUUUCUAUGGAUUAUGCACAGGAAGUAUCGUAAAGAUCUAAUGUAAUGGUUGAAUUUAUUUGCUAUUUAUAAAAUUUGAGCCCAGUGAUAUUCAGAUAUUUUACAAUGCAGUGUUUAAAGUCAUAAAAAUUCCAGACCCUUAUUCUUCCAUGUGUUAUUGCUCUUGGGAAUUAUUUCAAGGUAGACUGCUAACAAAUCAUAACUGAGGAAUAAUACAUAAAUUCUGCAUCGAUUGCAAUGUUUUUACUUAACUUUCUUAGUUUUUAAAUUUACAAACUUUUCAUUCCUAAAGGCAAUAGUGUCCUCCUUUCAGUAAAGAAAAUAAAAUAGACAAAAUAGUGUCCUCCUUUCAGUAAAGCAAAAAAAAUAAAAAAAA